UACGGAGGAUCCAAGCGUUAUCCGGAAUUACUGGGCGUAAAGAGUUGCGUAGGUGGCAUAGUAAGCGGGUAGUGAAAGCGUGUGGCUCAACCAUACUCACAUUAUCCGAACUGCUAAGCUAGAGGACGAGAGAGGUUAUUGGAAUUCUCAGUGUAGGAGUGAAAUCCGCAGAUAUUGGGAGGAACACCGAUGGCGUAGGCAGAUAACUGGCUCGUUCCUGACACUAAGGCACGAAAGCGUGGGGAGCAAACGGG
rnacentral:rRNA from 1 species